CAAGCAAGAAGACCCGCUGAAUUUAAGCAUAUAAUUAAGCGGAGGAAAAGAAACUAACCAGGAUUCCCUCAGUAAGGGCGACUGAAGCGGGAGUAGCUCAAGAUGUGAAUCUGCGCCGUUCUGCGGCGCCGAAUUGUGGUCUAUAGGCGUGUGCGUUACCUGGCCGGGCCAAGUCCCUUGGAACAGGGCGGCUGAGAGGGUGAGACCCCCGUUCGCCUGGCCUUUGGAGCGCGCGUCGACGAGUCGAGUUGUUUGGGAUUGCAGCUCAAAGUGGGUGGUAAAUUCCAUCUAAAGCUAAAUACUGGUGGGAGACCGAUAGCGUACAAGUACCGUGAGGGAAAGAUGCAACAGAACUUUGAAAAGAGAGUUAAAGAGUACCUGAAAUUGCUGAAAAGGAAGCGAAGGAAACCAGUGUUAGCUGCGUCAUACUUCCCCGUUCGCUUGCGGUCGGGGCGCUGUGGCCAGCGUUGUCAGGCUUGGCUGGGUUGGGCGGAAAUGCGCGUAGGGAGAUUAGACCUGCGUGUGUCUGCGUUCGACUUGCCUGAGGUUGACGAAAUGGUUUUCUUUUUCCCGUCUUGAAACACGGACCAAGGAGUUUAACAUAUGUGCGAGUACAGGGGUGGCAAACCCCGGUGCGCAAUGAAAGUGACAGUGGCUGG
rnacentral:sRNA from 1 species